GGCAAACGGCUGAGUAACGCGUAGGAACUUACCCUUUAGUCAAGGAUAGCUAUUCGAAAGAGUAAUUAAUCCUGGAUGUGGUCUGCGGACCAAAGACUUCGGUCGCUAGAGGAUAGGCCUGCGUCCUAUCAGGUUGUUGGUGAGGUAACUGCUCACCAAGCCUAUGACGGGUAGGUGGUCUGAGAGGAUGAUCACCCAGAAUGGAACUGCGACACGGUCCAUACUCCUACGGGAGGCAGCAAUUAGGAAUCUUGCGCAAUGGGGGAAACCCUGACGCAGCGACACCGCGUGGAGGAUGAAGGUUUUCGGAUUGUAAACUCCUUUUGUAUGGGAACAAGUUCUGAGGGUACCAUACGAAUAAGCACCCCCUAACUACGUGCCAGAAGGGUCGGUGAAGCGUAGGGUGCAAGCGUUAUCCGGAAUUACUGGGCGUAAAGAGAUGCGUAGGCGUCCUUGCAAGUCUAAAGUGAAAUCCCGAGGCUCAACUUCGGAACUGCUUUAGAAACUGCGAGGAUUGAGUCAGUCAGAGGGAAGUAGAAUUCCUGGUGUAGCGGUGAAAUGCGUUGAUAUCAGGAGGAAUACCGAUGGCGAAGGCAACUUCCUGGGGCUAGACUGACGCUAAGGCUCGAAAGCGUGGGGAGCAAAACGGAUUAGAUACCCGUGUAGUCCACGCCGUAAACGAUCCCUACUA
rnacentral:rRNA from 1 species